GACGAACGCUGGCGGCGUGCUUAACACAUGCAAGUCGAGCGAACAAAGCUCCUUCGGGAGUGGAGUUAGCGGCGGACGGGUGAGUAACACGUGGGUAACCUGCCUUAUAGAGGGGGAUAGCCUUCCGAAAGGAAGAUUAAUACCGCAUAAGAAGUAGAAGUCGCAUGGCUUUAGCUUUAAAGGAGCAAUCCGCUGUAAGAUGGACCCGCGGCGCAUUAGCUAGUUGGUGAGGUAACAGCUCACCAAGGCGACGAUGAGUAGCCGACCUGAGAGGGUGAUCGGCCACAUUGGAACUGAGACACGGUCCAGACUCCUACGGGAGGCAGCAGUGGGGAAUAUUGCACAAUGGGCGAAAGCCUGAUGCAGCAACGCCGCGUGGGUGAUGAAGGUUUUCGGAUCGUAAAGCCCUGUCUUUUGGGACGAUAAUGACGGUACCAAAGGAGGAAGCCACGGCUAACUACGUGCCAGCAGCCGCGGUAA
rnacentral:rRNA from 1 species